CCUGAAGUCUUUGCAUCUGUUGGUGACGUCAUGGUAAUAAAUGCUGGUUUCUAAGGGAGACUGUCAUCGCCAUCCCAGCAGGAACGCUGGUCUCGUCCUAUCUCAGACACCGAGAGCAAAAGUUCAUCAGUUAUGACCACGAGAGGCUUCAAUGGCAUCUAGACCCCGGGCUACGAAGGUCGUUAAAUGAGAUGAGAGGUGGUGGAGGAACAGACCCAAAUGUCAGACGUUGACGUAGACUACAGAGAUGGAUAAGGAACUAAGCCUUCAAGUGACCACCAAGAGUUUCCUGUGUGUGAGAGCCCAAGAAAAACCCUAUAGGUGUUAUCCCACGGUGCAAGGGGCUUACCGUACUACAGAUACCUUCAACCUUCUGUGGAAAAAAAACUUGCUGGAUGAGUUACAGAAAGAAAGAAAAUGUCUUCUACAACGUGUGCGAGGAUCUUCUUUCUGAUGCCGAAGCUUGGAUGUCUGCCUGGGUAAUUCUUUCAUGGGUAAAGUCUGCUUCAAUUCAUGAAUUCACCCACUUGGACUUGUGCCAUGACCUUGCUAAUUACAAAGACAGA